rnacentral:tRNA from 1 species
GCCUCAUUAGCUCAAUGGUAGAGCGCAACUCUGAAGAUGUUGAGGUAUCAGUUCGAUUCUAGUAUGAGGCA